rnacentral:miRNA from 1 species
AGGUGGGCAUACUGCCAACUG